rnacentral:rRNA from 1 species
GACGAACGCUGGCGGUAUGCUUUACACAUGCAAGUCGAACGGCAGCACGGGUGCUUGCACCUGGUGGCGAGUGGCGAACGGGUGAGUAAUGCGUCGGAACGUACCGAGUAAUGGGGGAUAACGCACCGAAAGGUGUGCUAAUACCGCAUACGCCCUGAGGGGGAAAGUGGGGGAUCGCAAGACCUCACGUUAUUCGAGCGGCCGACGUCUGAUUAGCUAGUUGGUGGGGUAAUGGCUCACCAAGGCGACGAUCAGUAGCGGGUCUGAGAGGAUGAUCCGGCCACACUGGGACUGAGACACGGGCCCAGACUCCUACGGGAGGCUG